GACGCCAAGAAGGAGAAACCCUUCGCCAGUACUACGUGGCCGUGGACAGGCUCCAAUUCAAGAUGGAGGAGCUUCACCCUUAGGCUUGCCUUUGAUUUCUUACCACCCUUGGGCUUACUAGGCAAGAUCGGCCUUGACUUGCUUCAGCUGCAAGAAGACCGGCUACUUCCCUUGUGAGUGCACUGAGUUGAAGAAGGAGCGACAAAAACACUUAACAAAGGAUGAAGGCGGGUUCAUGGGAAUGGGAGGCGUGAAGAUCUUCAUAAGAAACAAUGAUGCUAAAGAUGUGGUGGGCAUGGGGACCCAUUGUUUGCAGUUUCCAUCUGGUCAUACCUUGCUUCUCCAUGCUGUGCUCUACACUCCUAGGAUGAGGAGGAGCCUACUACCAGAAACAUUGGUUGAUUUGUUGGACGUGAUUGGGAGAAGAUCUUCCUUGCCAAUUGUGCUGUGUUGCAGUUCUCGUGAUGAGCUUGAUGCAGUUUGUGCCACUGUGUCGAACUUAUCAUAUAUCUCCUCAACUUGUAUGUAUAGUGACCUUGCAGAAAGUGAGCGUGCAUCUAUACUUGAUAAUUUUCGGCAAGUAGCAGCACAAUGGAAUAAAAGGAGUGAUGACCUUCCAUCGGAUCAGUCUGAGUCAGGAUGUGAACAGAAACGAUCUUAUAUGAUGGUUGUAACCGACGCCUGCCUGCCCAUGAUUGGUGUUGGAGAGGCACCAAUUCCUGCUCGUGUUCUAAUAAACUAUGAGUUGCCGACAAAGAAGGAAGCAUAUUUAAGGCGCAUAUCAAGUUGUUUGUCAGCAGAUGGGAUCGUGAUCAACAUGGUUGUUGGAGGUGAGGUAAUCACCCUCAAAAGCAUAGAAGAAAGUUGUGGCAUUGUCACCGAAGAGAUGCCUAUACAUAUAUCAGAGAUUUUAUGAGGAAUACAGCCAAGUAGCAUCCAUACCAUCCUUCACUGUACUAUUCAGUAUAAAAAAAGCUUUAUUUGUCAUGGUUGCUUUCUGUACUUCCAGCUACAUUGUUGACUCCAGAAGUUUCUGCUUGACGAUUCGCAUUCCUGACCAAGAAGAAGGUAGUUCAGUUGGAAGGGUCCUUUACCAGUGACAAAUGAAAUUCAAGACGUCACGUUGUGUUGGCUUGUCAGUCGGACCACCUAAACUUGAGCCCAUUCCUAUGGGCAGCGCUGAGAGAUCGAGUGGUCUGAAUUGCAUACACAAUUUGUGUUGUAGAGAGAUGAAGAAAGGUGUAGUCUAUCAUGCAUGUAUCAUGUCAAGAUACAUGACUCCACCCACGUUCAACAGUGGAUGGUGGAGAUGAGCCAUUCAUAACAACUUCGUCCGCGUAAAAAACUUCUUCAAAAUUUCAAAUC